rnacentral:rRNA from 1 species
CCUACGGGAGGCAGCAGUGGGGAAUUUUGGACAAUGGACGCAAGUCUGAUCCAGCCAUGCCGCGUGCGGGAAGAAGGCCUUCGGGUUGUAAACCGCUUUUGUCAGGGAAGAAACGGGUUUCUCUAAUACAGAGACCUAAUGACGGUACCUGAAGAAUAAGCACCGGCUAACUACGUGCCAGCAGCCGCGGUAAUACGUAGGGUGCAAGCGUUAAUCGGAAUUACUGGGCGUAAAGCGUGCGCAGGCGGUUAUGCAAGACAGAGGUGAAAUCCCCGGCGUCAACCUGGGAACGUAGCCUUCGUUG